GAAGAUAUAGCUCAUUGGUAGAGCACAUGCUUAGCAUGCACGAGGUCCUGGGUUCAAUCCCCAGUACUCCCA
rnacentral:tRNA from 1 species